UACGGAAGGCAGCAGUGGGGAAUAUUGCACAAUGGGCGCAAGCCUGAUGCAGCCAUGCCGCGUGUAUGAAAAGGCCUUCGGGUUGUAAGUACUUUCAGUCGUGAGGAAGGUGUUAAGGUUAAUAACCUUAGCAAUUGACGUUAGCGACAGAAGAAGCACCGGCUAACUCCGUGCCAGCAGCCGCGGUAAUACGGAGGGUGCGAGCGUUAAUCGGAAUUACUGGGCGUAAAGGGCACGCAGGCGGUUAAUUAAGUUGGAUGUGAAAUCCCCGGGCUUAACCUGGGAAUGGCAUUCAAGACUGGUUAGCUAGAGUCUUGUAGAGGGGGUAGAAUUCCAUGUGUAGCGGUGAAAUGCGUAGAGAUGUGGAGGAAUACCGGUGGCGAAGGCGGCCCCUGGACAAAGACUGACGCUCAUGUGCGAAAGCGUGGGGAGCAAACAGGGAUUAGAUACC
rnacentral:rRNA from 1 species